UACGUAGGAGGCAAGCGUUGUCCGGAGUUACUGGGCGUAAAGCGCACGCAGGCGGUCUUGUCAGUCUGUAGGGACAGGGCACAGCUCAACUGUGUCAGGCUUACGGAAACUGCAAGACUUGAGGGCUUCAGAGGGAUGGGGAAUUCCGGGUGGAGUGGUGAAAUGCGUAGAGAUCCGGAAGAACACCAAAGGCGAAGGCACCAUCCUGGGGAGUCACUGACGCUCGGGUGCGAAAGCCAGGGGAGCGAACGGG
rnacentral:rRNA from 1 species